UACAGAGGUCUCAAGCGUUUGUUCGGAUUCAUUGGGCGUAAAGGGUGCGUAGGUGGCGCCGUAAGUCAGGUGUGAAAUUUCGGAGCUUAACUCCGAAACUGCAUUUGAUACUGCGGUGCUUGAGGACUGGAGAGGAGACUGGAAUUUACGGUGUAGCAGUGAAAUGCGUAGAGAUCGUAAGGAAGACCAGUGGCGAAGGCGG
rnacentral:rRNA from 1 species